rnacentral:sRNA from 1 species
UUGAUUGCCCUUGUGUGUGCAGUCCUCUAUCUACCUGCAGAACAGCACGGACAGUGGCAGGGCAAACUUUUCUUACACUGCCCCCUACUGAUGUGUCUCAACCCUGUCUUCAAGGGAUCACCUCCAAAGAUGGGAGAGGAGUUCAGUCUCCUUGGCAUAUUUCCUGCUUGCUGGU